UGAACAACUGCCUAACCAAGGAAAAAUAAGUCACAUGUCAGAGUCUACUGCCCUCAUGCAAUGGAAAGUGAGUGAGAGCAGCGAGCCUGUGAGCAUUGUUCAUGCCAGGCAAGAGCCGUUCAUUUGGGAGCCAAGCAGAUGCCACUGUCAGUGAGAUAAGUGUCUGUUUUGCUGAGGGUUCUGUUAACAGCCCAUCUGACUCCAGGUACAGACGCUGGGGCUGGUUUGUCAGAAGAGUUUCCUGACUAGCUGGGGAUACAAGGGAGACAAGGUCCCCAUUUUCAGGGGCUUGUCAUUGCUCUGUUCACAAGCAGUGUGUCCUCUGCAGGAGAAAGUUGGAUCCAGGAGGAUGACUCCAGAUGUUUGCAGAGGAAUCGUCCAGGAGUCCUCGCCGGAGGAGAAUAUUCAGAAGUGGAUCUGAGAAGCCUGGACAUCCUUCUAAGGAGACAUGAAUAGUCCUCGGGUUUCUGCAUAACUGGCUGUUCCUCAUCUGUACUUGCUGUAGUUUUCUUCACAGGCCGUGUGCUUCCUCCUUGGGUACGGGGCUCUGUGGCUGGGGAGGGCCCAGAAUCUGCUCUGCGGAGUGACUGUUGGGUGCCAUUAAGAGGGCCAAUGCAGAGAGGAGAAAAGGGGCCUGAACCCUGAUUACAGGGCGGUCACCCUUUCUUCAGUAAAAUACUCCUCCUUUAAACUCGGUGCGGGGGGAAGUCCCCAAUGUGAAAAGAUCUGGAAAUGAACGGGUAAGGGAGGGAUCCUGCUGAGUGUCUCCUUUCCAAUCAAUCCUCCAUCUCUUAGCGACACCCUUCUGGACUUACCUUCCUACCUCACCAAGAAAAUAACUUGGUGCUCCCUAACCUUUACCAGAAAAGACCCCUCUUCCUUGUGACGCAGUCCUGUUAGUAGGGUUAGGUGCACCCACGUGCUGGCUCUGAAUACCACCGCAUGUGCUUACAACACCUGAACAUUAACACAUUUCAGAAAGGAUAGCCACAUCAAUCCCUUCGGACGUAGUCCUAGGAAUCUCCUCUGUCUAUCUCCAAAGAGACACAAGGCCUGGAAUUUGGACACAGCUGAGGGAGCUGUCCGAAUGUCUACAGUUGAACACUCAUCAGUGCGACGGUGUGUUUCUUGUGCACAAGAAAACAAAGGGUUAAAGUUGUGGUUGGUUGAGCGGUGUAAAUUGGGCAGGGCAAAAGGACUUGAGGAAGGAUGAGGUGGAAGUGAGGGUCUGAAAGAAGCCCCCACCUCACCUGUUCAUUUCCAGACGGUGUGACAUUUGCAUGGUUGGGCCAUUUCUUGGCUGUUUUGAGAAAAGGGGCGCAUUUUCCCACGGCUUCCACCAUCCCCUUACAGCUGCCCCUUUGCCACACUAUGUUGCAUCUGACCUGGAUAGGCCGCAAGUAAGAUUUCAUUUCAAAUCUCAAAAAAGUCCAGUAGAAAUAAUUGUGGGGGAAUUUCCUGUCACUAAGAGAAACGGAAGCUCAAGCCUUCUCAAGGGGUGGGGUGUCGCUCAGCCACAGGCAGAAAAAGG